GUAGUCAUAUGCUUGUCUCAAAGAUUAAGCCAUGCAUGUCUAAGUAUAAGCAAUUAUACCGUGAAACUGCGAAUGGCUCAUUAAAUCAGUUAUCGUUUAUUUGAUAGUACCUUACUACAUGGAUAACCGUGGUAAUUCUAGAGCUAAUACAUGCUGAAAACCCCAACUUCGGGAGGGGUGUAUUUAUUAGAUAAAAAACCAACGCCCUUCGGGGCUUCUUGGUGAUUCAUGAUAACUUUACGGAUCGCAUGGCCUUGCGCCGGCGACGGUUCAUUCAAAUUUCUGCCCUAUCAACUUUCGAUGGUAAGGUAUUGGCUUACCAUGGUUUCAACGGGUAACGGGGAAU
rnacentral:rRNA from 1 species